CUAGACCUACCGGGUGGUCGUUAUUUUGGUUAUUGCGCUUUAUUGAUUUUUUAAAUUUAUACUACUCAGCCAGACGUCCAUGUGGUCGCGGUGAACGAUUAAACUGUGCAAAAUCCAUCAUCAUGUUAUAAUACUGUGUGCCUAGGUAAGUGCAGUUGACGUUGGCACCCCUUCAGGGUAGGUACUCGUUUUCUUGUUUGCUGUUAUUGCAUUGUCUAGCAUUUUACUAUCAAACUCGAUCCGUACACCCUAUAUUAUUUGAAUCGCCAGUUUCAACCAUCACCAGUCGACAGUUUCCAGAGUUUAAAAAGUAAAAAACUAGCUAAGAGUUUGAAUUAAAAUGGAUGAUUAUAACAACGAUACCGUGAUAAAAAUAGAGAAAGAAAACGAAGAUACGAAAGAUCACUUUACUGGAGACUUAGUGAAAAAAAUAAAACGGAAUGCUAUUGAGAAAUUAUACAAGAGUUGUCCGACUACAUACAAAUAUGCUAAAAAAAAAAUCGAAGACGACGCAUAUAAAAUAACUGAAGAGAAAAUUAAAGACGAAACUGAUGAUUAUAACGGCUGUCCCAAGAACAAAAUAGAUGAAAAAAAUGUAGUCACGAAAGAGACAGUCAGACUUGACGGCAAUUAUUUCGAGCCCGUGAUUGAAACUGAUAAAAAUGAUCUUUUGGAUGUAGAAUAUAUAAUUUACUUUGAGAAGACAAUGUUAUUUAUAUUAUUUCCAUUCUGUAUUUUUAUUUUAUUGUUCAGAAUAUAUCUAAACCUUUGUUGUUUAUUUAUUUGUUAGGAUUGUUUAAUUUAAAAUAUAAAAUUCAGAUUUUUUUAAGAAGGAAAUUAGGUUUGUGGUAUCUCUGGGGUAUCGCCAUGGACUUAUAUUAUUUUAAAUUUUGUUGAGUUUCGUGUUGAGUUUUUACCAAUGGGAGUGUCAUUGGUUGAGUGUGUGUGAUUUGAUUGCGUUUUUUAUGUCAGAGACUUUAGAAACGGAGAAGGCGUUGAUGUGGUUACUUUGAGUACACCCUGGUUUGCCUUUUCAUUUCCUGGUAUGCCAAUUUGUCCAGGGAUCCAUAUAAAUUGGAUUUGUUUUCUUUUUUCAACAGCUCUAUAGGUUUCUUCUUGGUUGAGCUUAAUGAUGUCCGCUGGAGUUUCUAUAUUUUGGAAGAAUUUUUUGCACUACAAAGAAUGUUAACAAUAUCAAUUAAUCAAAUCUAGUUUAUC